rnacentral:lncRNA from 1 species
AUGCUGGUGGCCCGAUGGAGUGCGAAGCUGCUCUCUCUCUUCUCGUGAAGUGUUGAUCAAAUCACUGUCAAAAUCUGUACCGGAUUCGUCGUUCACGAGGGCGAUCGAGUUUAUUGAAGAGAAGAAGACGACGUCCAGGAUCUGUCUAAUUAUUUGUUAUGGAUGUGUGAGAUGUAUCAGGACGAGAUGGCCUAAUUUCAGGGGGCCGAGUUCUGAUCUAUCUUUGUCAUCCGACCUUUGCCAUGUCAGGUGCGCUUGCAUGGCAGGUCACCAAUAUUUUAAUAAAAGAAAUAUUUUUUGGUUUUCGAGGGGAGAUCGCACGGGGGUUGCCCGGGUUCUUCCCCUCGUGUGUGCGUGUGGGUGUGUUUUGUGUGCUCUCUUUUUUCUUCUUUCCUUUCUUUCCAAUAUCUCAAUCGUCACGCACGCGAGAUCCACUUCACCAAAUUGAUAACGGAUUGGAUUUGGAUUAGCGCUAUGAUCACAAAGAAUUUGAUCUACUCACAACUACUUUCGCGGAUUCAGGUAUAUUUUCAACUUCCAACAAACUAUUUAUAGAUAACAUUCAAUUAGUUUCCGACUUUAAAUAAUCCAAUAAUUAGAAGGCUAGAAUCGUUUUAUUUAUAUGUUUUCAGAAUUGCAUCCAAGGCGUCAGACUUCAAACCGGGUCUAGUUAUAUUUGAAGUUGGAAAACCAAGUCAUGUUUUAGACUCUUUUACAUUUGCAGGCGUUAAUAAUUGGAGCUCCAUUAAUUUCAUAAAAAAAAUUGAUAAAUGAGUUUUAAUGCGUAUAUCUGUCGUAGAAUUUAUUUAAUUAAUAAAUGAGGCAAAUACUGUGGAAUCAUUCUAUUUACUGUUAUGUCUUAACAUCCCAACUAUUUUCCGAAGAGGUGGAUAUAAGUAAGCAACCCGAAAGAGCACUUCUAAAUUAUUGAAAAAAAAUGAACGAGUCCUAGCAUAAAACAGAGCGUAAAAUGUUCCAUCUGCAUCCUUAAGGC